ensembl:lncRNA
CUGGUAAUGAAUGAUCCGGGAGUAACACCGCCACAACCUGCGGGAAAAGGAGAGUCGUUUAUCCGAUCCUGAGGUAUGUUGUCAUUCCCUCCUGGCAGGGAAUUAAGAAGGGCGAGUGGCCAUGGCCGGGAAUAUAGACUGAGGCUUGCCUCUGCGAGUCCCGAGAGUGCCUGUCUGCUGCUCUAGCCGCUCCCCCCACCCCCCGCCCCCAUUGGCUCUUUCAUGGAGAUAGGUCCAGCCUUUGAACGGUUGGAAGGAAAGGAUGCCAGCAAAAAUGGCUAAUCCUUUUCCAGCUGCAGUAAACUGACGAUUGGCCAAAGCCAAGCGAAAACCGCCGCAGUUAAAAUGAUUUUAGCGUCACGUCUGCAGCUGAGAAUGGAGCGUCAGUUUCUAAAAGGACCUGUGGAUCAAUGAAAAGGAGAUUAUAGUGUAUCUGAAUAUUAAUAAUGGCAUUGCAUCUGUAUUUUCUCCCCCUCCUCUUUCCUGAUUUUUCCUUAGAUCUGCAGGAUUGAAAUGAAAUGUUUUGAGGUCUUCAAGCUGACUCAUCGGAAUAAUCCUGGAGCAUUUUUAAAAUGACGGAAAUGAAAGGAAAUGACUUAAAGACAAUUUUAAAUAUAGGAAGAAAUCACCAAAGGAAGAAGAUGAUAGAAUUUUAUUUACUUACUGUAAGUAUAAAAUAUGUAUUAUUUUGGUAAUAAGUACUGAUAGAAGAAAAAUACUGUAUUUCUUUUAGAAGUGUGCCCAAUAACUCAGAGUAUGUGUAAUGUAGGCCCUCUAAGGAAGGUUCUAUAUGUUACUUAUUUCUGAAGGCAUCUAACUGUGGUGGGUGAUGAUACAGUAAAUGAUGAAGAAUUACACCAAAUUGGGCUCAAAUCCCUGCUUCUGCAAAUAUCUGAGCUGGGUCAAAUUACUUAACUCCUUUGAAAUAUUAUCAAAGUGUGUUAAACAUCCUACACAUCUGUUAAAAUAUGACAAAAAUUGACCUUGUUGAGUCAUUGUGAGACUUAAAUUGAAAUGAUAUAUGUAAAACUCUUAGCCCAUAAUAGACUUUUAAUAAAUUUUAACUAAUAUUAUAGCAAGAUGUUUUGAAUGAGAUAGUCCUUAAAUAUUUAUUGAGAAUAAUUAGUAUUGAUUUUCUUGAUGUUUUUCUCCUUCAUGAAAUCCAUACUAAAGUAUUUACUUUGAGGACAAUUUUGCAUUGUCCUUGUUUUGCAGGAUAUUAUAAUUUUAAAGAGAAUGCAAAUCAUAAAUGAAGACGAGCAAACUAGCUAAAUGUUAAUUAAACAUCAAAACAUAAAAAUCAGUGAACUUCUCUUCAUAAUCAUGUUGUUUUAACACUUUAAUUUUCUUCUAGAUAAGUUUAAAUUUUCUAUAUGUUUUAGUUUAUAUGAUAAAACAUAUGUGUAGAUUCAGAAAAUCAUUUAAAUGAAAACAUGGUGUUUCAUUAUAAAAUAGUGUUGUUUUAUUUCUAUAAUUAUCAACAUUUUAGGAUUGUGUGAAAGUGUUUGUUACUCAGUCAUGUCUGACUCUUUGUGACCCCAUGGACUGCAGCCUGCCAGGCUCCUUUGUCCGUGGGAUUUUCCAGGCAAGAAUACUGGAGUGGGUUGCUAUACCCUUCUGCAGGGAAUCCUCCAGACUGACGGAUCCAACCCAUGUCUCCUGCAUUGCAGGCAGAUUCUUUACUGUCUGAGCCACCAGAAAGUCCACAUUUUAGGAUUAAAAAACUCUUAUAUGAUAUAGUCACUAUUUUACCUCUAAUUCCUUAAUACAUACUACUAUAUUCUUGUGAGCAACUAAACUGAACUGAACUGAUAUUCAUGUCAAUGGGUACAAAAAUUCUCCAGAUUAAAAACAAAUUGGUACAAAUCACUUAAGAUAGAAUGAAUUUAUUAGAAUGACCAAUUUUGAGCCUCGAGCCUUUCUCUUUAUCAUUCUCCUCUUUUGCUAUUUCUGUGUCUAGCAUUGCUAUUGUUAGUAUUCUCCUUAGUAACUCAUUAUACUUUCAGAAAACAAAAACGCAUUGGUGCUGGUGUGAUAGGAGCAGAGCCAUACAAAUACCUAAAGAAUAGAAAAUAAAUGUAAAUCAUAGAUAUAUUUCUCCAGGAUUCAUCACAAUUUGAUAAAUAAAGAAUGCAUAUAAAAUAUUUAGACAAAUUUAUUAAAUGGCAUAAAAAUACAUUUAAACAUCUAAUGACUAUGAAUGCUGAGUGCAUGGGAAAUAUAGAAAAGACUAGAAUAAAAACAAUUAAGCAAAGAUUUCUAGAAAAGGGCAGUUUGUAUUAUGAUUUUAAAGGCAACAGUACUAUACAGAUUAGCAGAAAAAAACAUAUCUAAAGCAGGUGAGAAGGACUUGCGCAGUAAAGAAGUGAAAAUAGUGAUAGCAAAAAGCUUUUGUAUGGAGAUCAUAAAAACAGCAAAUUGAGCUUUUUAAUUACAGGCCAACAUCCUGACUUUGGACCCAGUUACUUAUAUCUAUGAUGCCAAGGCAGCUUUAAUUUUGAUUCAUUGGAUUUAUUCCUCUUUAUCCCCACCCACAAGAAUUUGGCCAAAUUUAAGGUCAGCAGAGUUGGGUGAGAGCCUCAUUUAGCUUUCACACCUGAGUAAUGCUUUUGGUAUGGAUUGGGCUAAUGACCAGUGCUCAGCCUUAGAAUUAUAAUAAAACCUAAUAUUAUUGCUUAUUCAUUAGCAUAUAUAUUUGAGAAUCCUGGCUGCUGCUUCUAAUUUAAUAGUGACGUGAUGAUGGCUGGUUUUCUCAAAAUACUUUAAAAAUCUUGUCUGGUUAGACUACCUAAACAAGUAUCUAAUUUAACAAAAAUGUAGUUUCAUUCUGCUAGGCGAAUAAGGGAGACAUGUAUUGCAUAAGCCCAAGGAACCUAACAAACAUUCAGCUGAAUGGUCCCAAUUUUGAUAGAGUUGUUGGCUGCAUUACCAAUGCUUAAUAAAGAUGUGCUGACUAAAUGAAUGAAUGCUUGACCUUUUAACUUUCCACUUUAUUCAUCUUUAAAAUAUAUCUAAGAUGUUAUACUCAAUUCCACAGGCUAUAUUUUUAAUAAUCUGUAUUUGAGAAAGGUCUUUGAAGUGGGUUAUUUCAGAAGAAACCCAAAUUAAAAUGGAAAAUCCACUGGACAAGUGUGUUCAAAACACUUGAUCUCUCAUUUAAAACUCAUGAAAUGCAUUCCUUCUGUCUCAGAACUGCUACUACUCAAAAGUGAUGUUAUCAACUUAUAAUGUUCUGUUUUCUAGUUUUCAUCUUAUUUUGUAUAUACUAUGUUGACUGUAUAACUAUGACUAGAAUAAGUACAAUGGCUAGUAUUCUGAAUUGUUUUAUUGUUUUUAUAAGGUCAGAAUGGCAAGCUAAGAAGCAGUCCCCCACAAUUAGCAUGUUAAGACGUCAAAAGUAAAUAUGGCUGAGAUAGGAGGACAUGUGCUGCCAUAGGUAGAAUCAGGAGAUAUUAUAAUUUAUAAGUGUUUUGGGGUUAAGUUUAAAAGAAAGGUUGAUUGACUUGAUAGAUUCAAAGCAAUGAAUGUCCUGAAUUUUAAGUCAGAGGGGACACUGUCUUGCUUUUAGCUUCUGUUCUUCAGUCUCCUGAAAUGAAGGGAUGCCAGUUCCAAAAAGAACUAUUGAUUACCAUAGUAUGUGUAUUUUUUUUCUUUUCUUAUUCCCCAGCUUCCUUUUUCAUAACUGACAGACCUGUAUUGUUUGUGGUUUAGAUAUGAUGGACCUUAGAAACAAUUCUGUAAUUAGGUCAUAAUUAUUUUAUACAUGAAGGAUUAAGAAUAAUCUGAGAGGUUUUUCACAGGCUAAUAGAACCAGGAUUAGCUGACCAGAAUGAAAGGGUUUAAGUGUAAAUAUACAGUACACACAUAUAAGAAAGAAAAAGGGCACAGUAGAUACAACCGUAUUUUUCCAUAUAAGAAAACAUUAAAAUGUAUCAGUGAAACAGGAUGGAUCAGAGUUGGAGUAUACUAUAUGUUUGCUUGAUUUACAAUGGAAAAGUUCCAUGUCUGUGAUGAAAGGAAAGAUUUACUUUUUCAUCUUACACAAUUUACAAAAAUGAACUCCGGGUGGAUUUGAGCAUUAAUUCAAAUAUAAAACCAUGGAAUAACUAGAUCUACAGCAGUAUCUAUCAGCCUGAAUAAUGAAGUAAACUGAGUCAAGCUUGAAUUAUCAGAAAUCGAGUUCAUUCCAGAACAGCAGAAGAAUUACAAUUGGGAAAUGCCAACUGCAGCGACCUAGGCUCAAGUCUGUAGAGGGUCCGCCGCGGGAGAUGAGCCGGAGUCCAAGCAGUAAGUUCAUUGGCUUGAGCAGGAUUGAUGGCAGCUGUUCAUUGGUCAGUUUCCGUCUUAUGUAAAUCAGGUAUUUACAAAACUCGCAGUACCCAAGUUUUGUUUUCCUGAGGGAAGUUGGUGAGGUUAUCCUUUUCAUACCGCUUUUUCGUUUAGAAUUGAAAACCACCGUUCACAUAUGGAGGAUUUACAUCCCUCCAGUUGUUUCUUAAAAGUGUUUAAUGUCCUGUUCAGAUUUACUCCAGAAAGCAGGAGAAGAAAAAAAAAAAAGCCGCAAAUAUCUAAGGGACAGCAACAGGAAGCGCUUCUAGAGCAGAGCUGCUAUCCUCUUCUGGAAGCUGCUGCUCAGUAGACUGUCUCCACCGAAACUGCUGAUCGUGACAACAGAGGCAGAUUCUGGAAGGGAACUCCAGGAUUCACAAGUCAGACAUGUCUGUUAACAGCAUGGUGAGUCCCUUUUGACAUUGGAAAGAGAAGAAAUUAGGAUUGUUAACCUUUAUAUAUAUUCUUAACCGCUGCUGCUGCUAAGUCGCUUCAGUCGUGUCCGACUCUGUGCGACCCCAUAGACGGCAGCCCACCAGGCUCCGCUGUCCCUGGGAUUCUCCAGUCAAGAACACUGGAGUGGGUUGCCAUUUCCUUCUCCACUAGCUGGAUUUAAAAAAAAAAAAAGAAAAAAUCCCAGUCUUUGAUACUGAGGUUCUAGAAACUCUAGGAAGAGGCUUCUUUCAGCUGUGUGCUCAAUCGUGUUCUACUCUGUGACAACAUGGACUGUAGCCCACGAGGCUCCUCUGUCCAUGGGAUUCUCCAGACAGGAAUACUGGAGUGGGUUGCCAUUUCCUUCUCCAAGGCAUCUCCCAGUCCAGAAAUCCAGGGAUCUAACUGGUGUCUCUUGUGUCUUCUGCAUUGGCAGGCAGAUACUUUACCACUAGGCCACCUGGGAAGCCCUCUCUCAGUUGGAGAAUCCUUAAAUAAUGACCUGUUUUUCAGAUUCCUAGUGGAGAGUCCUUUUGGAAUGCUGAGAAUGCUUCUAACAUACAUAGAUAGUUUUGACAAUUCAGAAAAAACUAGGUUGUAUGGUUAUUUCUUACAGAAUUCACAUUUGAAUUUUUCUAAAAGUUUCUGUUUCUUCAUUUAUUUGUAUUUUAGUGUAUUAUUCCUUGUCAGAUUAACUAUAUUUCUUCUGUCGAUAGAACUGAAAUAAUUUAAGACUGUGUUUAUCUCAGAAAGGCAGGAAUGAGUAGAUAUCAUCCUAGAACAUAUGAUUUAUAUGAUUUAUUUAUUUUAAAGAUCUAUUGUUCUUUAUCAUGAUUCUUUUUAAUAAUACUUAUGAAAUAAGUUCUGUUGCGAUGGGAAAUUUUAAUUACAAUUUAAAAAUAAAGGCCCCUCUAAAAACCUGCUCUUCUUCCUCCUUAAGUGACUAGUUUGGAUUUAGCUGGCAGUCUCAUAACUAUGUAAUGUUUUUGUGUUUAAAAUGAGGAUAUACAUGCAUGGAAACAUGAGAUCUGAUUCAUAGAUGGAAAUUGUAAUAGAAAUUCCUCUUUUUAUUUCUAUGCUCUUAAAUUUUACCCACAUAUGAAGAUGAGUUUUAGAUGUAAAGGCAGAAAUGUUAUUAGUUAGAGUUUUAUUUCAACUGUAAUAAUUAAGAAUAAAAUGGAUAGAGAAAAAAAGGCUAUGCCAUUUAAGGACAUGAUUUUAAUAUGGUGCUGUCUUAAAUUGCUGAUGGUCACACAGUCACUGCAGAAUUUUUAUUGUGUUCAAGAGCAUUUGUGCAUUUCCUUCUUUUAUUUGAGAGAAAUGUGUUAUAGUUUGGUGAAUUAUAGGUGGCAGUAUACACAGCUAAAUUCCAUGUUUUAUUGCAGGUAUAUAGAAGAUAUUUCAGUUGGUUAACAAUUUUAUUUUUUAGCUUUUUGUCUCUUUAGCCCCAUUUUAAACCCCUCCUUCCUUUUUUUUUUUUUUUUUGUGUCACUAUAAGAGCAUGAAAUAAACUCCAUUAGAUUAAAAAAAAAGUGUUUUAAGUAUCAGGUUUAUUCUGAAACAUUUUUAAGAAGUUUAUUUUUAAUGUUAUCAAAUAAAGAUACACUAGAAAGAGUAUAAUAUUCACCUAGCAGUUGAUUUAAUAUUAAAAUCAGAAUUUUAAUGCUGAAAGGAUUUUUUAGAAUUAUAUAUCAAACCAAAGACAGAGAAAUGUUUAUUGUCUCUUUACAUUUUCUGUUAUAAAAGUUAUAGGCAAAUACAAUUUGAAUGCUAAGUUGUAAAAAUGCAAUACUUUCUUGAUUUACUGUCCUGAGGUGGGAUAGCUAUCUUUGAGCAUGUUAAGUACACAAUUGUUAUUCUUUAUGCCUGCUAUCCACUCUAAAUGCAUUAUAUUCAUGAGAACAAUAAUACAAUUAUGAAUGAUGUAGCAAAACAGAAUAAGCUUAAAUUGAUGAUGUAUAGCCAUACUGUGGCACCUCAUGGAGAAUAAGAAAGUUAGCAGUCCAUUUCUUCCAGAGAUUUUCACAAAGUAUGUCUAGGGUUUCCUGAAAGUUACCCACAGACAAAUGGAGUAGGAGUGGCAGGGGAAAGGCAGGGAUAGUGGAAGUGAGAGCCUAAGAGGUAAGCAGGUCUGACCUGGUGUCUUGCAGUUUUCCUGUUGUUUAAUUUACUUACUGAAGUUUGUGAAAUACCACACCCCUUUCCCUUUUAAACUAAAAUCUUUUUAUCUAAUUCAAAUUGUUCAUGUAUGGAGAAGAACAUUGAGAGCUGAGUAGAUGGGACAGUUACCCAGGAUCAAGAUAGUAAUUAUCAGUGUAGGGCUGACAUUACACACUACUGCAUGGAGAAAUAAGCAAUCCUAACUUUGAAUUUAUGUUUUCUGCAGUAUUUCCUAUUUGUUUGUUGGCUUUGUCCUCUUUGCCACCAUAAUUUGUUUAUUUAUCUUAAUGCACUCAAUUACUCUGCACUUAUUGGCCCAUAUCUAGCUUAUAAUUUUCAAGAAGAUGUGCUUCCUUGCAAAUGCUCACUUUACUGCUGGCCAGUUGUUUGAGGAUCAUUUGGUUCUCUCAAGCUGAUAUAUAAGCAUGAUGAAUUCCAAAAUGAAAUAGGCAGACAAAGAAAUUCAGAAACCAUUUCUUCAGAUUUUUUUUUCACUGCCCUUUUCCAAGGUCAGUAAGAUAAAUUCUCUAAACUUGAGUAUUUUCAAAGUACUUCCCAAUGAAAUUUAUUGUUUUUUGAUGAGGUGUAAGUUCUCCAGCAUUCUGAAGUAUGAGUGCUCUUAGGCAUUUGGAGUUUGAAAUAGAAACAAACCUCUAGCAACCCAAGGAGAUGUUGGCUAAAUGUAUUAAGUUCAUUUUUAAAAUAAAAUGAAGACAUGAACAUCUGCUAAAAUAGGAGGCUAACCCAUAGUCUCCUUUUUGGGUUGGAGAAAUGAAAUGGGCCCCAGGUUUUGUCUUCCCUAUUUUUGAACAAUUUACUUUCCUGGAUAGCUUCUGAGUGAAAUAGCAAGUUAAGUAUGAGUAUCUUUUCACUUGAAACAGAUAUGCUUAGUGCUAACCUAGUCCCACUGGAUAUGUCUCCCUAAGAAAGUUUUGGUUGAGAUCUCAAUCCUUCCCACUAUUGAUGCCUAGAUUUAAGAAAAAAUAAAUAAACAUCUUUAAGAUGUGGAUAUUGCAAUAUAAGUACAGCUGACUUAUUUUGCAUAUUUAGCUAGAGCCUAAGAGAAAACAAAAAGAUCAUUUCUUUAGGUUGUGUUUACAUAGUGCUUACAUAGAGCUGUAUUAUAAUCUAGAUUUAGAUCUUUUUCUUUUAUGAACUCAAAUUUAUCAACUAUAGGGUCCUUCCAAAGUUAAUAACAUGUAAUGUGCCAUAUGACUGGAAUUUGAAAUGAAAAAUGGCAAGACAUUUUGGUUGGUUGAUUAAUUCAUUUAUUCAUUCAGGAAAUACAUAUGGAGCACCUACCGUGUACUCCGGGCUUCUCUGCCUGCCAGUGCAGCAGAUGCGGUUUUGAUCCCUGGUCCAGUAAGAUCCCCUGGGGAAGGAAAUAGAAACCCACUCCAGUAUUCUUGGCUGAAAAUCCCCACGGACAGAGGAGCCUGGCGGCUACAGUCCAUGGGGUCGCAAAGAGUCAGACACUGCUUGGCAACUCACCACCGCCGUGAUGUACUAGAGUGUUUGGAAUACAUUAUGAAUAAAAUAGACAGAUGUUCUCAACUGCUGGUUUUUUUUCUUUUUUGGUGUGUGUGUGUAAUAAAUAAAUAAACUAGUGUGUUGGAAAGUGAAAAGUGCCAUGGAGAAUAGGAAAAGAACAGGUCAAGAGGAUCUCUUAAUUUAAAAUUAAGGAGAUCAAUUUUUUCCUUCUCAAAUUUGUGAGGAUAAUAGAACUCAGACAUGAAGUAGAUUGGGUUCUUAGUAACUGGCUAUGGUUGUUUUGCCAUGGCAAGAGAAAACAAACAGAACUUGAGAUGUUCUUUUUUAAGGUUUCCUUUAGGAGUUGCUUUAAAGUAGAUUUCUCAUUAUCCACUAAAUUGAAUGUUUUCCCACUAGGCAAUUUGCCCCUAACACUAAAUUAGGGGGAGAACCACUAAAACAACUCUGUCAUUUAAUGACGAGGAGGUUUUAAAAGUAAAGGGAUGUCUACAUGGGAUGUAGAGUAGGUUUCAAUUUUUUGAUAGUUGCUUCUUUUUCCCCCCAUCAGAAACAAAAGGGAGUAUUUAAAGAUGUGUUGGUGGAGGGGAAAAUUGGGUUUAGGAUAUUAAGUCCCCAGCAGGAGACUUUAGAAUUUCUUGGUUGCCUCAACAAAACCUUUAUCUUCCAUGGGGAAUAGUUAAACAAUGAUAACAAAGGAAAUUAAAAGCAAAGCAAUGUCUAGUGACUGUCGUUUGAGCAAGUACGUUUCCUAGAAAAACUGAUGAUGAAUAACUUUGUCAAAUUUGAGUGCUUUAAGUGCCUACCUCCAUUGACCUUUACAAAAAUAUGAUUUGCCUUCAAGUUGUAAUGAAAAAUGCAUCAACACGCUAAAUGUCAAUAUGAUAGACUCUUCUAGAAUGUACUGUCUGCCAAUAGUAUAGGGUGUGUUGCCUCUACAUGCUUCAUAAGGUUUCUCUCAAUUCAUUCAGGUAUCUAACUAGACAAGCAGUGGUCUUAGAACAAGUUAUGUCCUUUGUCCAUACAAAAUCUGUAAGUAUAAAAUGCUUGUAGUGCUCUGGAUGGUUUUUUUCUUGCUAAAAUUUCAUUGUUUGAUUUUAUCAAUAUGCCUCUCUCCCACGCUUGCUUAUUUAUUUGCUUAAUAACUACAUACAUUCAUUUACUCACAUAUUAAAAAAUAUUAAUAUGAAAUGAACUCCUUUAUGUUUGGGACAUUGUGCUAAAUACUUACAAACUCCUGGAUAAAAAUGUUUUUAUAUGAAAAGUGGAACUGUGAUAUGGUUAGUCUCAAUACCUAAUUUGAGAAUGACUAGUUCUUUCUGGAUAACAGCUGUAUAUAGGAAAGGGGAAAUGGAUGAUUGUGAAGACAUACAUAGAAGUCUCACUAGGUUUGGAAGCAGAGACACAAACUGGAUUAAUUCAGUUAGGUGCUACAUAUGUGAUAGCCAUAAUGAUGACAGAGAAAAUGUUACAUGUUGUUGCCUAUAUUCCUCUUAAUAAGACAGAUAUUUUAAUACAUUUCAGAAUUAUUUCAGCACAGUAGUCCUUUAUGUGGAGUUAAUAACAAAUUGCAUUAUUCAUAACAAUUGUUCAUAUUGAUAUAUUUAAGUAGUUUGUGAAAUUUUUAAAGUUCGUUUGUAAAUUACUUUGUAGGGAUGAUUUUAUUUUUAAACAUGGAUGGAUCAGUUAUACCAUUAUAUAUUUUAUUCACUCUAUUUUUUUAGUUGUACUAUUUCUGUCCUACUGGUUUCCUGCAACAACCUGUUUUCUUUCUGUAAAGAAUUUCUUACACUUUAUAGAUUUGCAAUGCAAUUAGUGGAUGCAUUUCUAAUCCUUCUAAACAUUCAAAUAUUGAUGUAUAAAUCACUCUUCCACCUACACACAAUGGGUUCUAUUUUAUUACAUCAUAUGUAGAACUAUCUUAUACAUACUUACCUGUGAAUGUCUAGUUUCUAACUUAAUUUCAUCCCAUAGAGUUGAAACUGUGUUUUAGUUUUUUUCAGUAUUAUAUUUUAGCUUCUGUAGAAUGGUUGUGAAAUUUCAUGUAAUACCUUUCUGGGAGAGAUGAAAGUAAUUAAGAAGCACAAAGGUACCUAUUUAAUUAGCAUAGUUGUAUCCUCAGAAGAAUCUUUGGUUGUGAAAAGUCUAAGGGAGCUUGCCCUUAGUUAAUUGAAUCAGAGCAUUUUUCACUUUUUUCAUGUCUCUCCACUUUAUUUGAUUUUGUUAUAUUCUCCACAAUGACUCACUAAAAAAAAAUUCCAGAGUAUAUAUUUUCUCCUAAGUAAUAUUUUGUUGAAGCCUGUAAAUCUGUGGUCAAAUCUAGGAUCAAUAUCAAUCCUAUUUUGUUACCAGGAAGGCACCGGAUGUAUUUUUAUGAUAAGAAGGUAUUCAAAUAUGAAAAUAUAUCUCGUUGAUCUUUAAGAGUAAGGAAUUUAAUAUGCUGACAUCUACUGAACAGUUCAAAUGCAGUUUGAGAGCUGCUUAAUCUUCUUUUCAUGUGGAUAUUGCUAAACUACAGGUAUAGAGCUUGUCUCACAUAUAGAUCCUUGCUUCCCUAGAUAAUUGUAGUAUUCACUAAGGUGAACUUUAUCUAUUUCAGCUUAAUAUUUCUUUGAAAGGGCAGUCCUAAUUUAGAAGCAAGUGAAUAAAAGGCAUCAUGCUUUUAAUUACUUUUAGAAAAGAAGUUAGUUCUUUCCCCUUUGAAUACUCUAAAUUAGAUUAAACAUUUUGGGGAGAGACAAAACAGAGGGGAGUUGCCAGUGGAGAAGUGUGUGGGAACCAAAUGUAAAGUUACCAGUCCUUUUACGAAUAAAGGAAACCGAGAAAAACAGCAGCUGCCAUUUCAGCUCAAUAACUCCAGUAACCUCCUAGUGAAAUCAUUUUGAGACUGCUGGGUGGAAAUAGUUUAAAGGUCUAUUGUAAAAGAAAUAAGAAUUUUAUUCAUUAAUUAGGUGCGUCAGAGACUGCUUUGAGUUUUUGUAAAAAUGAAUGACCUUUUAUUCCCUGGUUAUAGUUACAUCCUUAAACUCUUGAUUUCCUGUGCCCCAUUCCAUUUCUGUUUAAGAUUUCACCUUUGCAAAUACUAGGCCAGUUGCGAAAAGGUUUUCAUUUCCCUUUCACUCUAGUAAAAAAAGCAGAGUAACUGUUUUUAAAAUUAACACAUGACAGGAGGGAUAUAAAUUGCAAAAUUGAAAUCUCUUGAUAAUGCAUAAGUGAUAGAGUGAGGGAACAUUUUGUUAACGUGUUUUGCGUUUCUUACCUCAGCGGAGAUGGAUAGUGAAGAUAUUUUUGGUCUUAUAGUGAAUUAUUUUUUGUUUUUGUCAUAAAAUAUUGGACUUUCAUGGAGAUUAUUUUCAGUUUUGCUCCUUUACAGUUGAGAUUGGUUCAAAGGCAGAAUUUAUGCCAGCAUUUGGAAUUUUGAUCUUUAGCAUGUAUUAUGUAGUAAUUCACAUUUGAUUAAUUUAGAAUUUCUGAAAAUGUGAAUCUAACAUUGAACUAUUUUGGCACAGUGGAAAAAAAGCAUGCUAAACAAAUAAAUAGUAUAAACAAUUAGAGAGGAAAAGUAUAAAUACUUCAAGCAGUUUUCAAAGUUUUAAUAGUUGAAAAUGUUCAAAGCAUUAUGACAGUUUCAACUCACUUAUUAAUUAUAGCAUUUAUCUUCCUAAUAAAUAGUUGUCUGUUUUAGAUAACAUAUUUCAAGUUAUUAUAGUUUCUUAAAAACAACUAUUUUUAAAUUUUUUCAGUUAUAAUGAAUUAGCGUGUGUGUGUAUGUAUGUGUUAGUGACUCAGCUGUGUCCAACUCUUUGCGGCCUCAUGGACUGUAGCCCCCCAGGCUCCUCUUUCUAUGGAAUUCUCCAGGCAGGAAUGCUGGAGCGGAUUGCCAUUCCCUUCCCAACCCAAGGAUCAAACCUGGGUCACCUGCAUGGCAGGCUGAUUCUUUACUGUCUGAGCCACCUAUACAUCUUAACCAAAUAGUACACUGUGCAAAAAUUUGAGUUCUGCUCCUAUUCUCUUCAUUCAAGAUACCCAAUCAUCAGGGCCAAGUAUUUGAACUUUAGAGGAUUUUUCUUUUGGUGUUUGCAUCUAUAUAUCUAAAUGGCUUGUUUCUAUUUCUAUUUAUGGAUUUCUCGGUUUUACAUUCUAUGUAUCCAUUCAUGUCCCAGAGUAGAAGCUUUUUUAGCAGUCUGUUCAUACAUAUGAACAUACAUUUUCUCUACCUCCAUUGUUUCACUAGAGGUUUAUCAUAACUUUUGGUUAAAACGUUAUUCAGUCGUUACAUUAAUAUGUGUUUGUAAGUGUUUCUAUCUGAGCUAAAUACUAUAUAUUAUGAAUAUAAUUGCUUUCUUGUGUGACACUUUAUCUGGAGUUAAUCACUUGCUUUAUUAUGUGUUUAGUUUGUAUAUCCUUAUCACUCCAAAUUCUCAGAAGUGCCAUAAAGUUUUCUCAUUACAAAUACAUCAUGUAAAUCAGAUGAUCUAGUUUCUUUCUUGCUUUCUUCUUUAUUUCCAACUUUAGCAUCUUAUGCCAUUCUGCAGUGGCUAUCAAUGGAGAGCUUCCUUUCAUCUUCAUCGAAUCAUCCCCCAAUUCCCUUUGCUUUUCUCUUUAUUGAUUUUAUUCGCUCUUUUUCAUUUUGAGAAUCAUUUAUGUGUGGUACUUAUCCAGUCAGUUUUAAAUGCAGAAUAAAAUGUUGACUUAAUGCUCAAAAUAAAAGGGUUGAUUGGAUGUUGUGUGUGCAAGGUCAGCAUGAGAAUGCAGCACAUCCCUAAUGUUAGGGAGAAUCAUUUAAUUGGGGAUUCUUAAAUAUCAGUGUCUAGAAACCAUCUUUAUGGCAGAAAGUGAAGAGGAACUAAAAAGCCUCUUGAUGAAAGUGAAAGAGGAGAGUGAAAAAGACCCUCAAGAGUCUUCUCCAACACCACAGUUCAAAAGCAUCAAUUCUUCGGCGUUCAGCCUUCUUCACAGUCCAACUCUCACAUCCAUACAUGACUCCUGGAAAACCAUAGCCUUGACUAGAUGGACCUUUGUUGGCAAAGUAAUGUCUCUGCUUUUGAAUAUGCUAUCUAGGUUGGUUAUAACUUUUCUUCCAAGGAGUAAGUGUCUUUUAAUUUCAUGGCUGCACUCACCAUCUUCAGUGAUUUUGGAGCCCCCCAAAAUAAAGUCUGCCACUGUUUUCACUGUUUCCCCAUCUAUUUUCCAUGAAGUGAUGGGACCCGAUGCCAUGAUCUUAGUUUUCUGAAUGUUGAGCUUUAAGCCAACUUUUUCACUCUCCUCUUUCACUUUCUGGUUUAAAUAUAUAGAAUUGAUUGGAUUCACCCAACUACACAGAACAAUAAUAUUCCCUUAUCACAUGUGCUUAUAUAAAUUUAUUUCAAUCUUGUGGAAGAGCAUGGUGGAAAGCAACAUUGCCUGAAAUGAGUUCUAAAAUGUCAUUGAGGCUUCAUCUGCAUCUCUAUUCUGCCAUCCCAGGGUGUGGCAUUCCUCUACAGGGUCCAAAAUUUCUGAUGUAGACACUUAAUCACUGUGGUGUCUCUGGUAGUAAAACAAAGGAAGAGAGGAGGAUAGCAUAGCUCCUCCCUUAGAAAAAGACCUUGUCAACCUCCAACCCAUUCCUUUUCAUCUCUUUUACCACAAUUUGAUCAUAUUUGUGGUCCUUUAUUCUGUGUGGUAUCAUGGCAGGCUAAAAAUAACUUACUAAAUUUAAAUAAAAGUGAGGGAAUGGAGGAUGGAGUAUGCAUCUAACAGUCCUAAAUUAAGUCACUGGCGUAUAGAUUACAUUUGCAAAUAUGGAUAUGUGUGAAU